UUAAAUUGAAGAGUUUGAUCAUGGCUCAGAUUGAACGCUGGCGGCAGGCCUAACACAUGCAAGUCGAACGGUAACAGGAAGAAGCUUGCUUCUUUGCUGACGAGUGGCGGACGGGUGAGUAAUGUCUGGGAAACUGCCUGAUGGAGGGGGAUAACUACUGGAAACGGUAGCUAAUACCGCAUAACGUCGCAAGACCAAAGAGGGGGACCUUCGGGCCUCUUGCCAUCGGAUGUGCCCAGAUGGGAUUAGCUAGUAGGUGGGGUAACGGCUCACCUAGGCGACGAUCCCUAGCUGGUCUGAGAGGAUG
rnacentral:rRNA from 1 species